rnacentral:lncRNA from 1 species
CUCCACUGCUUUGCUCCUCCUGGCUCAUCGUGCUAAUCUCGUUUUGAGUCUGCCUUCUUAACGACAGCCUCACUCUGUCUGCUACUUCUCAAGUUUCACUUUCUCUGAAUUCUCUUAGACCAUAGUUUCUCAUAAAUUCGUCCUCAGUGCCCUUCACGCUUUUGGUUGAGGAGAGUUUUGACUUAAAAAAACAGAUACAGGCCAGAAAUGGAUAAAGAUAUGACACGAACAGGUGUGUUCGCUGUGCAGCCCAGCCUAAUCAUAGAAGCGCAGUUUGGGAGGAUGUUUGGUGUAAGUUCUCGUUGUUUCAAGUGGUCCUCAAGCCUCAACUUCAACAUCUUCAGUGGUUCCGUCCCUCGGAAGCAGUCAUUUCAAUUUCAGAAACGCUAAUAAUUAGAAAAUUCUUCCUUGUAUAGAUGUAUAAUCUGCCUUCCUAUAAUUUCCACUUGCUGGUCUUUUUGGCCUCUUUAGCCGCAAGAAAGUGUUCUAAUCCCUUAUGCCUUAGAGAAGUCAGUGAUGCCUGUCUCUUAAAAAAAAAAAAAGAAGCAGCAGCAGCAGCUUGUUUUUCUGUGUGAACAUACAAGUGUAAAAGUGCAAUCAUUUAAUUUAAGGAAACCAGAUGCUCCGAGAAUCAAGGGCCCUGAGGGAGUCACAGUAAAAUACAAAGAAUACCUGUAGCUGUGGUCUUAGAAAUUUCUGUUAACUAAGCAACAUGCAACGGAUUAGGACUUUAAGAAGAGGCGAAUGUCAGCAAUUCCCUCAGGAGUACAAACAGUUAUUGCAUGUCUGACUUCCCUGAUUCAACUGCAAGCUCCUUGAGGGUAGGAGUUCUUCUUUAUAUCCUUGUUCCUGGAAACACAUCUGGACCACAGAGCAGCCCUUAUAUAAAGGUCAGCAGCUAUCUUGGACCAUGAAGUGAUCUUAGAAGAGAAACCGGGCCCAGCAGAGCAACUUUAUGGAGUAAAAUCACCGUGCCACUUCUGGCCUGCUCUUGCCUUCUCUGGACUUUUAUGUGGGACAAACCUCUGUCUUGUUCAAGCCACUGUCACUUGCAACUGAACAUCAUUCUAACUGAUAAACCCUAAAAUCUCUAGCAUAUCGUUGCAUAUGACCAGAGCAGAAAACAUAGCAAUAAAAGUUUAUUGAAAAGAUGUUGCAAA